UGGGGAAUUUUGGACAAUGGGCGAAAGCCUGAUCCAGCAAUGCCGCGUGUGUGAGAAGGCAGCUUCGGGUUGUAAAGCACUUUUGUCCGGAAAGAAAUCCUUGGCUCUAAUACAGUCGGGGGAUGACGGUACCGGAAGAAUAAGCACCGGCUAACUACGUGCCAGCAGCCGCGGUAAUACGUAGGGUGCAAGCGUUAAUCGGAAUUACUGGGCGUAAAGCGUGCGCAGGCGGUUUGCUAAGACCGAUGUGAAAUCCCCGGGCUCAACCUGGGAACUGCAUUGGUGACUGGCAGGCUAGAGUAUGGCAGAGGGGGGUAGAAUUCCACGUGUAGCAGUGAAAUGCGUAGAGAUGUGGAGGAAUACCGAUGGCGAAGGCAGCCCCCUGGGCCAAUACUGACGCUCAUGCACGAAAGCGUGGGGAGCAAACAGGAUUAGAUACCCUGGUAGUCCACGCCCUAAACGAUGUCAACUAGUUGUUGGGGAUUCAUUUCCUUAGUAACGUAGCUAACGCGUGAAGUUGACCGCCUGGGGAGUACGGUCGCAAGAUUAAAACUU
rnacentral:rRNA from 1 species